rnacentral:tRNA from 1 species
AAACAUUCUAGUAGCUUAAUCAAUAAAGC